rnacentral:tRNA from 1 species
UGAUCAGGGCGAGGAUUGAACUCGCGGCCUUUUCGGGUGUACAAUGUCGGUGUUUUCGCAAUAACCAUCACGAAGACCGCAAAUGUAAACGAAACGUGAUAACCACUACACCACCCGACC